rnacentral:lncRNA from 14 species
UGGCCUGGAGACCCGGAGGAAGGACACCCGCGCUGCUGUGGCGUGUGCGUCCUAGUUUAAGGUAUGAGUUGGGCUGGGGAGCGGCGGAGCCAGCCAGUCAGAUUCAGGAAGUCGAGUUCCUGACCUCAUGAGCAGAGCUGGGUGCUGUGAAACCUCAACCAGGGACGCGGGGGCGCUUUCCUCCGCAACACACGGGUGGCACCCACUGAUCCGCAGAACCUCCUCCCUCCCGGGACCUGGCAGUGGGAGGGAGGGGCUAGAGGAGGGACCCAGACCUCAACCCUGUGCCCAAGUCACUUCAGACAGCACCGGAACAGAUCCAGCGGUCCUGCCAGCAGGAAGCCUUCCAGCGGACCCAAAGGUGCUCCCAGUGGCUUCCCCAAAUGUGAAGCCAAAAGAAAAAUAAAUUCCAAGUGGCUAACACCGUGUUCUGUGAGGCCCAGGGCUUGUUAGAUAAUUGGGAUCCUCUGGCCCCACACUAGCCCAGCACCAUGGAAAGAAACAGUACCUUCUUCGACUCCAUCUGGGAAACCAUCCUGACCAGACACGAAAGAGGGGUCUUCAACACCGUCUGCCUGGCUGUGCUCCUGGGGCUGCCCCUGGUGGUGCUUCUCACCCUCUUCUUCAUCUGUUGCCAUUGCUGCUGUAGCCGGCCACCCAAGAGCAACCAACAGGCAGAACAGAACAAGAAGAAAAAGAAAAAGAAGAAGAAGAAGAAGAAAGAUGAAGAC